CUUGGCGACCAUAGCGUUUUGGACCCACCUGAUUCCAUCCCGAACUCAGAAGUGAAACGAAACAGUCGUCGUGUCGUGUGGGGUCUCCCCAUGUGAGAGUAGAACAUCGCCAGGC
rnacentral:rRNA from 1 species